CUGCCUGACACUGCCUGGAUGGCCUGGAACCAGGGCCUGGAAAGCCCAGAGACCUAGGAUGGAGCCAAGUCAAUGAAAUGACUCCCGAUAUUUUGCUGUACUCAUAGAUGGGUGCCUAGCCCAAUUGUCACCAGAGAGGCUUCCUCCAACAUCAGCCUCCCCAAUUCCGGGAUGACAAACCCGGAUCACCAGGCCUGAUGAGAAUGGCUUUGCCUCAGCACCACGCCUGCUUGCCUGCCUCUGCACUUCCUGCCGAGACGGUCACAGACUCACCCUCUGACAACUGCAAGCCCCACACAAACUCUUCUGGCAGGAGAGGAGGGGGCCCCAGCGGAGCCCAGAGGAGGUGUGAGCCUGCUAGGCAGGGCGAGCAAAGGUGUGCACACUCCCGUCACGACGGCAAAGCCAACGAGGUGCAACAAGGUGGCCCUGACCGUUCUCGUUCUGGAGAAAUCUGAGUCACCACCACGGAUGGAAGUCACCCUGCUAAGGUCACGGAAAGGCCCUGUGACAGGGAGAUAGGCACAUGCAAAGAGUCUGCCCAGGGCUUCCUGCUGGGGCUGCUGCCCAG
rnacentral:lncRNA from 1 species